UCGAGUUCUGGGUCUUUUAGGCCCUUACUCCCACCCUUUUGUGUACCUUACCUUAACUUCAGUUGCCUUGGUGGGGAACGGAAUUUCACGAUUCCUUACCUGCCAUGGGGACUUUAUUAAACUCUUAUGAAUUGAGUCGUCUGAGAAAAAAACAAAUAAGUUA
rnacentral:misc_RNA from 1 species